GAAAUGCGAUAAGUAGUGUGAAUUGCAGAAUUCAGUGAAUCAUCGAAUCUUUGAACGCACAUUGCGCCCUUUGGUAUUCCUUAGGGCAUGCCUGUUCGAGCGUCAUUUAAACCUUCAAGCUCAGCUUGGUGAUGGGCGACUGUCCCCCCCCCUCGCGGGGGGGACUCGCCUCAAAAACAUUGGCGGCCGGUACAUUGGCUUCGAGCGCAGCAGAAACGCGGUCUCGAGCCCGGUGGAUCGGCUCCCAUAAGCCUAUUCUUUUAUUUUGACCUCGGAUCAGGUAGGGAUACCCGCUGAACUUAAGC
rnacentral:misc_RNA from 1 species